rnacentral:rRNA from 1 species
GAACAACGCCGGCGUGUGUGAUGAAGGCUUUUCGGGUUCAUACAGCAUUGUUGUAGGGGAAGAAAUGCUAAAAUAGGGAAUGAUUUUAGUUUGACGGUACCAUACCAGAAAGGGACGGCUAAAUACGUGCCAGCAGCCGCGGUAAUACGUAUGUCCCGAGCGUUAUCCGGAUUUAUUGGGCGUAAAGCGAGCGCAGACGGUUGAUUAAGUCUGAUGUGAAAGCCCGGAGCUCAACUCCGGAAUGGCAUUGGAAACUGGUUAACUUGAGUGUUGUAGAGGUAAGUGGAACUCCAUGUGUAGCGGUGGAAUGCGUAGAUAUAUGGAAGAACACCAGUGGCGAAGGCGGCUUACUGGACAACAACUGACGUUGAGGCUCGAAAGUGUGGGUAGCAAACAGGAUUAGAUACCCUGGUAGUCCACACCGUAAACGAUGAAUACUAGGUGUUAGGAGGUUUCCGCCUCUUAGUGCCGAAGCUAACGCAUUAAGUAUUCCGCCUGGGGAGUACGACCGCAAGGUUGAAACUCAAAGGAAUUGACGGGGACCCGCACAAGCGGUGGAGCAUGUGGUUUAAUUCGAAGCAACGCGAAGAACCUUACCAGGUCUUGACAUCCUUUGAAGCUUUUAGAGAUAGAAGUGUUCUCUUCGGAGACAAAGUGACAGGUGGUGCAUGGUCGUCGUCAGCUCGUGUCGUGAGAUGUUGGGUUAAGUCCCGCAACGAGCGCAACCCUUAUUGUUAGUUGCCAGCAUUCAGUUGGGCACUCUAGCGAGACUGCCGGUGACAAACCGGAGGAAGGCGGGGACGACGUCAGAUCAUCAUGCCCCUUAUGACCUGGGCUACACACGUGCUACAAUGGCGUAUACAACGAGUUGCCAACCUGCGAAGGUGAGCUAAUCUCUUAAAGUACGUCUCAGUUCGGACUGCAGUCUGCAACUCGACUGCACGAAGUCGGAAUCGCUAGUAAUCGCGGAUCAGCACGCCGCGGUGAAUACGUUCCCGGGUCUUGUACACACCGCCCGUCACACCAUGGGAGUUUGUAAUGCCCAAAGCCGGUGGCCUAACCUUCGGGAGGGAGCCGUCUAA